AAGCCAGCUUGACUGCGAGCGUGACGGCGCGAGCAGGUGCGAAAGCAGGUCAUAGUGAUCCGGUGGUUCUGAAUGGAAGGGCCAUCGCUCAACGGAUAAAAGGUACUCCGGGGAUAACAGGCUGAUACCGCCCAAGAGUUCAUAUCGACGGCGGUGUUUGGCACCUCGAUGUCGGCUCAUCACAUCCUGGGGCUGAAGUAGGUCCCAAGGGUAUGGCUGUUCGCCAUUUAAAGUGGUACGCGAGCUGGGUUUAGAACGUCGUGAGACAGUUCGGUCCCUAUCUGCCGUGGGCGCUGGAGAACUGAGGGGGGCUGCUCCUAGUACGAGAGGACCGGAGUGGACGCAUCACUGGUGUUCGGGUUGUCAUGCCAAUGGCACUGCCCGGUAGCUAAAUGCGGAAGA
rnacentral:rRNA from 1 species